GAACAACCAAUUGAAGAGAAAUACAGCAUUGCCUCAGAGGCUUUGCCAAAAUACAGUGAGCUGCCUUGUCCUAAUAGAAUCAACUUAUCGAAUCUGCUGAAUAAUCUACUUGAUGGCUGAUGUAUUGUUGUUACCACUGUCUUUCCAGCCCUGGCAAUGUUACGUAACAUCUGCAUGAUCCGAAGUGCUGUGGUUGAAUCCAAACCAGAUGUUGGUUCAUCUAAGAACAGAAGUGAUGGAUUCAAAAGAAUUUCAUUUCCAAUGCACACUCGUUUUCUUUCGCCUCCUGAAACUCCUCUAACAAAUGCCCCACCAAUUAUAGUGUCUUGACACCUUUCUAGGCCAAGCUCAUUUAUAACUCCAAUAGCUCUCUCUUUCUUCUGCUCUUUAGAUAAUGUAUUAGGUAGACGAAGCAAAGCAGUGUACGUUAAGGUUUCUUUCACAGUGAGAUGGGGAAAAACAACAUCAUCUUGCAGCACAAACCCGAUCCUUUGUUUCAACGACUUGUUAUAUGGCUGGUCAUUGAAAGUAAUCGUGCCACUAUCAUUUUUCACCUUUCCACUUAGAAGCUUGAGUAAGGUUGUUUUACCACCACCGGAAGGUCCCAUUAACGCGAGAAUUUCUCCUGGACAGGCUGAACCACUCACUCCUUGAAGUAUGCACUUUUCUGUAUCAGAAUUCUCCACUCCCUUCAGUGCAACGGAGUACUUCACAUCUUGA
rnacentral:misc_RNA from 1 species